GAGAGAGAGAGAGAGAGAGAGAGAGAGAGAGUUGUGUCUUGUGUUAGCAUGAGUGCACACACAUGUGAGUAUGAGAACACAGAUAAUGCAUGUCUUUGGUUUGAUCUCUGUCUAUUGUUUAGGACAGAAACUGGUGGUUUAGAAGCUUAAAGUCUCCUGUUACACUUUGCUUUGCUUUGUUCAGACAGCCUCGCUCUAUAGCCCAGACUGGCCUAUAAUUCACCGUGCAGUACAAUCUGUCCUCAGAUCCUCCAUGAGCUUCCACACCCAGCAUUUCAACACUGGCACUGCCUGAGAUUAUAGACAUGAUUUGUUAUGAUGGCAUCAAGUUCUCACUAAGUAAGGUUUCCCUUCUGGGAAACGGCAGCCUCACCAGUCUCCAGGAAGCCUCCUACUAUCAUAAUCUGUAGAUGAUUACAAUAAAGUCGUCCCACACUAGCUCAGAGUGGAGUAUACUGAAGGGUGCUUUAUUUAGGUGUAGACUCACAGAUCAACAGUCCUCUGCAUGAGUGGGGAAUAGGAACUGAAUCCAGCAGCCAAUAGAGAGCGGUGCAAGCUUUACAUCUGCAUUUAUAGCACAAGAGACCAUGCCCAAGUGGGCUGCUAUCGUAAAGGCUACUGGCUGAAGGAGUUCCCAUAGCAUUAAUCCUCUGGUGAAGUAGCAAACUUUGCAUCGUGUAUACUUUGCCACCAGGACAAGAAAACUCAGGUUUAUUGACUUCAUUCUUCAAGUGCAAGCUAAAACACUUAGUUUUGCUUUGUCUCUUUUAUCUCAACUCUUGCUGUAAAAAUUGGCCUUGUGUACAAAACUCUCAGAGGCAGCAAGAUUUUUGUGCUCCCCAAAUGAGUGCUCGUGAAGUGCAGUCCGUCAUUGGCUGCUUCUAAUUGUUCCCUCUCUGCCCUUCCUGGAUCUUGAAGUGAGGACGAAGCUCACAACAUAAGACACUCCACAGAGAAAGGACUCUGGAGGCCUGAGUGUCCUGAAGGGGGUGGGGUCAGAGGCUGUCUUAGUCACUGUUUUCUACUGCUGUGAAGCUGCACCACGACCAAGACAACUCUUAAAGAAAGCAUUUAACCAGGCUUGCUUACAGUUUCAGAGGGUCAGUCCAUGAUUAUCAUGGUGGGAAGCAGACAGUCACUGGAGCAGUAGCUGGGGGCUUUGCAUCCUGAUCAGCAGCAGGCAGAGAAAGAGAGACCCUGGGCCUGGAUAUGGAUUUUGAAACCUCCCAGCAUCACCCCUAGGGACAGACCUUCUGCAACAUGGCCACACCUCCCAAUCCUUCCCAUCAGCUCCUCAGGUGGGGGCUAAGCAUGAAAAUAUGUGAGGGCCGUGAGGGUCUUGCCACUUAAACCACCAGAGGUGUCUGGGGAAGGAGUACAGUUCCCAGAGCACUGGUCACUUCUUUACCAUGGACACCCACGCGAGAGGUUCACAACUUGAGACCUACGCAGUCACCUGGUUGCUAGGUGAGGGUAAGGAGUGUUUCUUUGUACCUGGAAUAACUAAAAUCUAGUGAAGAGUUGGCCUACAGAUGAUUCCAGUAAAUGUUUUAAAAAAAAUAAUAGCCAAGCUUACAAUUCAGCAGAAGGAAUGUUUGCAAUAAGCAAGAACCCUGAUCAAAAGCGCCAGUUUAAAGAAUGGUGUAGUUUCCUCAGAAUUAUGCAGCCUCUUAUUACACUGUUCACUCUGGUUUCAUCUCUCAGUCUUCAAAGAAAUGCCAGGACCUGGUCAGGAUGAAAGGGGGGAGUGAUUAAAGGGAAGAAAAUGGAACCACAGGAGGGCUCAGAACCUUGCAAGAGCCUAAAGGAAGGCCCAGGGAGUCUGAGGCAAGCCAGUGAAGGCACUGACUCUGUAUUCCUGUAUGUUCUCUCAUAGUUGAGCUCAACACCUGGAAAAUGUGCUUUUAAAGAGGGGAAACUGUGGCUCUGCUCUAUCAAAACAUCUAGGUCUUCUCUAAUGUCCUGAACAGAGUUCCAAUAGAUAUCUGCCUCAGAGACAGAGAUGGGAGAAAGUGCAGUAAUUCUGCCAGUACUGCUGAGAUCAGAUGGAAACACCAGCAUCCUCAGCAAUGGGAGGGAAGAGACAAAGCAAGAGGAAGGGCAGAGCUUCCUGAAGAAACGCUGGAGCCACUAGAAGGACCCUGCAGCGUCAUGGGGACGUGUGACAAGAUGACUUCUGGAUGUGCUGGAAUUCUACGUGGCCUAGACCACAGAACCCUACAACAGUGCCCAGUGCUUAACAAUGACCCAACACUGUCAUCUAGAACUUCACAUUCAAGAGCCAAGCAAUCCAGUUACAAAAAAAAUGCAGAAAUAAUCUCAUAGUUUUUAAAUAUAAAUUUAAUAUUUGCAUUGACACUGACCUGGGUUCCACUUUCUGUACUUUUCGGGGGAGGGUUUUACUCUAACAAAUUAGAAAUGCUACUGAAAAGCUAGAAAAGUGGCUCAGCUGGUAACUUGCUACCUAUAUAAACUGUCUACAGGGCUGUUCCAAGGUAGAGCUAAGGGGAAGGGUUUCAGUAUAGAUAUGAGGGAGAGAGCAGGCAGAGGCAUCUGGAGGAGUCCAGAGCAGAGAGAGGAAGCGGUAGACUGAGCAUCGCCAGCAGACUGGACCUGGCCAGGAGAGAGGCAGAGUAGAAGUGAAUGGGAAAAGGGUAAUAGAUGAAGACCAAGAGAGAGAGACAGAGGUUUCUGUCCUGCCUUGUCCUACAGCCUUUCAGUCCCCCCCCAAAAAAACACAUAGAGGUCCACAUUAAUUAUAAACUGGUUGGUCAAUUAGUUCAGGCUUCCUAUUAACCCUUAUAACUUACAAUAACCCAUAAUUCUUGUCUGUGUUAGCAACAUGGCUUGGUACCUUUUAUCAGCAAGGCAUUCUCAUCUUGCUUCCUCUGUGUCUGGGUGACGACUGCAGACUGAACCUUUUCUCUUUCCAGAAUUCUCCUGUUCUGGUCACCCCACCUAUACUUCCGGCCUGGCUACUGGCCAAUCAGCAUUUUAUUAAACCAAUACAAGUGACAAAUCUUUACAGGGUACAAGACCAUUGCCCCACAGCAGAGGAAAACAAGAGGAAGCACACAGAGGAAAUAUCAGGGUUAUAAGGAGAAGGUGAAGCUGCAGGAAGGAAAGCUCCUGAUCUGGAGGGAGCUUAGGGCUAGAAAACUCAAGAAGAGCUAGGAUGCCAACACUGACUCCAAAAUGUGUAACAGGUACUUGUGAUGCUGAGGGAGUCUGGAGGCCACCAUGCACUUUAAUGCUGUAGUUAUCUCUUCUCCAUGAUAAGGGAAAUGGCUUCUUGGGCAGAGGGGAACCAACUUCACAACUUGCAGAGGAUGCUGGCUGUUGUUCAACUGACGGAAUUUGGGGAAAUGGAGUUUCCUUACACCUGACACAACCAAGCCUGCCCACCUGCCUAUGAUCCCUGGAAACCAUGGUGGAAGGAGAGAACUCAUUCCCACACGUUAUCCUCUGUUAUGUGUUUUCUUCAUGUGUAUAUUGCCCUGGGUGUUGUCCAGUGACCAUGGAGUCCAGAAGAGAGAACUGCAGUUAUAGGUGGUUUUGAGCAGCUAUGUGGGAGCUGGGGACUUAGCCAGACUCCUCUGCAAGAGCAGCAAAUGAUCUUAAAUACUGAGGCAUCUCUUCAAACCCCAUAAGAAGCUACAAUUUUCAUGAAAAGUCAAAGUGUACCCGGCCACUUGGAUUUUAGUUAAUUCCGGAUGUUGCCAGCAUUGACAACUCAGACAGCCAUCACUGGUGAUUAUUCUCUCUGAGCAAAGAUAGCCCGAUGGGAAACAAGUGCAGUCUAGGCACGUGAGAUCCACCGAAGAGACGGACACACUGGUACAAUGAAGGCAUCUUCACGCCACUUCCUCGUCAGCAGAGAAUCUCCAGAGGAAACUUUGUUCUGUUGGGGUUUGGUUUUGUGUGUUUGUUAUGACACAGUUUGAAUCUGUAGGUCAGCUAGUCCUGAACUCACUGUACAGAACUGGCUUCACACUCAUCAUGUAGCAUCAUGUAGCUCACGUUGGCCUUAAAUCUGCAAUCUCCCUAAGUAAGAAGAUCACAGGUGCACACCACCACACCCACCUGAGAUACAGUUUUCAAACAAAAAUCACCUCCAGCUCUGUCAGCCUCUGUUCUUGGCACAGACUUCAUCUUCACAUGUCAGGAAAGGGAAGACAGUGGUAAGGUAUGUGUGUGUGUGUGCAUGUGCACGAGUGUGCAUUGCAUGUGUGUGUGCACGUGUGUUUAUACACAUUAUUUGUGAGACUAUGUGCACCAUCCAUUCAUGUACACACAAACCCACAUGUGUUUGCACACAUUAACAUACUCAUAUACACACAGUGCCCAUUCACUUAUACAAACACGCUCACACACUUAUGGGUGCGCAUAUACACACACUUAUUUGCAAACACACUCAUCUGUAUGCCCACACUCACACUUGAGCUUGCUAAUGGCGCGCAGGGAGCAGCUGCCUUUUGUCUGCAAUGGCAAGGUAUGGUUGCACUCGUCAGAAAAUUGCACACUGCAACUGCACAGGUCAAAUACUCCAAAUCCCCUCCCUUGGCUCACUUCUGAGGGAGUGGACAGGACAGAAGUCAGCACAAAUAAAGUCGAACCAAGCUGGGCAGGAGCAAGGGUGGUCCCCACCGCAGUGAUAGAAGGGAAAGUCAGGUGCACUCUCCAGAAGAACCUGUCAAUGGCGCGGACAGCGCGUUUGCAUGGCAACAAGAGGCCAUCACUUGAAGGUCGCUUCUUCUGUCCACUCUUGAUGACUAAGACAAGAAAGCAGCUACUUCUCCGCCUCCUGCAGCUCUCUCAGAGUGGCCUGCAGGAGCCACCGAAGCUUCCGGAACACGCCGGAGGAUGCAGUCCUGGAGUACCCAGAGGGACCCCCUUGGUGAGCACACUCCUGAACAGCCUGCUGUAGCUGCAGCCGAAGCUGUGGGGAGACAGCGGGGCUCCUGUGAGUUGAGGAGAACCAGCGUCGAAAUAUUUUAUCACAGAUGACCUUAGGGGAAAGUGAGAAGUUAAUUCACGGAAACAAGCCAUUCUUGGCAUCCCCUAGGUCUCAAGGACACCCUUUCCUUGCCCCUUUGGGGAAGGCUCUGUAGAGAGAGCCUUAACAUUGAGCAGGAGUUUCCUUCCUAAGCCUUCAACCACUCAGCACUGGGAACAGGGUAGAUCUAAGAGCACAGAAGACUUCCUCCCUCUGAAGCAGAAAAUUCCAUAUCCAGCCCCAAAGCAGAGGGAGAAAAUCCUGGGUGAUACUUAAACAAACAUAAACAUAUUUCCAAAGAAAAGAGCAGAGCCAAGUCGAGCAAGGAGUUGCUCCCUGGCAGGGCAGAGAGCAGCCGUGCCUGUUCCAUCCCUCAGCUAGAAGUACUGCCCCCUCACAGGGGAUAAUAACAAUAGUAACUGCCCAUAGCAGCGUCCUGAGAGUCAACAGGUCAUUAGUAAAGAAGAACAUGCAAGUGUGAGCUUUUAUCUUUAUAGUCCUAGGACACCCAGGGGAAAAGUACAUCCCAGGGGAAGCUGUGCAGGCACAAGGCUGUGCAAGAGGCUUCAAACUGCUUUACUUUAGGGAAAGAAGAAAAAAGCCACUGUUUCAUAGACUUAGCUGCUAAUAGGCCAUGAAAUUCAACAAGAGCUCUUCAGACUCUCCACACAGAGAGAGAUCUGCCAACAGGCUUUGAGGUCCCCAACCCCACAGUGGGGAGCACUGCCUGGAGCUGCACUGAGAAUGUGCCUAACUCACCUUGACCAGGCUUUCUGUCCACCUCAUUUACCAAACACCUUUAUACAAAGCAAGUUCCGGGGAAGCCAGGACUGUUACGUGCAGAAACUUUGUUUCAAAAACCAAAGGUGACAUUUGAAACAGUAGUUUUAUUUCCCUUUUGACUAGAAAUCACCCUUUACCGGUGCAAAAAUUUUAAAUUUCUAGAAAGACACGUCAUACAUAGUAUCCAUGCUCUACAGCAGCGUCACAGGCAGGAGCUGCCGAGGAACAAGUUAACCCCAGCACUGGGCUCCGCUGAGAGGGACUGGCACCUCUGAAUGUUCUCAGAAACUGAGUCUGACCUGGUCAGACAUGUAAAUGGAUUACAUGUUAAAUGUGCCUCAAAGACCCUGUGCCUCCAGUAGGUGGUGUUUUAGAAUGUGUUGGAGUUGUGAAGAGAGGUGAAUGGGUGAGGUCACAGGUGUGUGCCCUGCAAGGGAUCCUGGGAUGGGGGUCUCUCUCUCUCCCACUUUGCUUCUCUGCCUCCAUGAACCGAACAGCUGUCCUUUGCCACACACCCCAGCCAGGAUGCUGUACCCACCACUGACCCAAAGGAGUCAGCGGAACAUAGACCAAAGCCUCUGGAAUCAUGACCCAAAGUGACAUUUUCUCCAUGAUAAGCUGAUUGGGUCAAGUGUUGUGUCACAGUGGCUGAACACUGAUUAACACAAGAAAGCACACCUGUCUUUCCAAUAGAACACUAGUUAGUAAACACGAGAUCAUAUUAUAAAUGCUGAUUUAUAACCUGAAUUUUUCUGUGUGGCCCUCUAUACUACAUCACAAAGAAGGCGCAUUUCACCUCUGGAUCUAUAUUCAAAGACAAUAGUGGCGUACGGGGAUGCAUGUGUCCAAUUUCGAUCCAGAGCCACGGUGUAGCCAUGGGUGGGGACACUCAUCUAACACCCUGAAGCUUCAACUGCUAAUUAACAGCAUUUUAGUGACUAUUCCCAACUGGCAAAAGCAUGUCAUUGUUGAGUUUUAAUCAGCAUAAUUUUAAUUAGUCUUUAAAUGAUGAGAUGAAAUGAUUUCCUAACCCCUACAGUUGAUUGAAUUUUGUCAUCUGUAUCUGUCCUCUUGGGCCAGUUUUCUUUGGUUCAAAGUUCCACCUGCUUCUCAAUGAAUCUGUAAGAGCCCUCUAUGUCCUGAGGAACCUUAGUGCCUCUCUCUUUGUUCAAAUUUAUUUAUUUAACAUGUGCAGUGUGUGUAUCUGGGUGGGGUGUGUGUGUGUGUGUAUGUGUGUGUCUGGAUGGUGUGUGUGUGUGUGUGUAUGUGUGUGUCUGGAUGGUGUGUGUGUGU